GGCAGAUUGAUGUUGAUAUACACAAACUUUGAAAAAGCUUUUGAUUGCAUGAUCAUAAUCGUAUAAUAAGCAUAUGAUAUAUGAUAGGGGACGAGGGGGCGUAGUCCCCUAAAAUUAUCUGAUACUUUUUUUUAUAAAAUACGUAGAUAUUUUAUAUAAUAAACCGGCAUUAAUAUCGUAUAUAUUUUAAAAAAGGCCGUAAUUUUUUAAACUUAACACAUAAAAAAAAAGAAUUACUACAUUAUGCUAUACCAUAAUAAUAUACAG